CCAAAGUUGAGCCUUUCCACCCCCACGCGUUCAAGAAUUGAUGUUUUUGUCUGGGUUACAGUUUCUUAUGCAAAGGGCCAGCCUAACGACUUUAGUCACCGGACACCCAAAGCCUGGUGCCUCGGUACCUAUGAGAGAAUGAAACGGUUUUCCAACCGCUGCUUCUCGCAUCACGACCAGCAUUGUUACCUCAAGGGCUGACCCUUGACUUGACACGGCUUCGGCUUGAGGAAUUAACCUCAAGGAAAGAGUCGCUUCCCGGCUGCUCCUAGUAAUACACUCGGCUCAAUCCGCCGACUCGACUUUUUCCUCCGACCCGAUUUCAUCUCUCAAGCAGGUUUUCCACUGCCUUUCGAGAGCAGUUCAGCGAUUCACCUUGGACAGUUUGAUUUCAUCAAGGAAGACAAAAAAGCAUACACAGUUUCUUUAUAAUCUACUGCAUAAAGUAUUAAGAAAUCUAUGUAACCAUACAGGGCCCCUGAGGACCAAGAAAGAGAUAUCAGCAUUCUUGAAAUAAUCCCAAGGAUUACAAAUGUAAAAGAAGAGACCUAAUAUGGUAAUUGAACAGAUUUUAGAAAAUGAUAUGACAUUGGGCCACUGAAGGGCAGCCUUCCAUACUAUAAGAUUAUGAAGUAAGUCUUACAUGUGACAUAUAAAAAUAUAGAUAUGUAUUUAUAAACACAGACUUUUUAAAGACUCACUGAAGUUUCCUGAUUUUGCCUGUUCUUUAAAAUAUUCACUUUUUCCUAUUGUAAUUUUUUUUACUUUAAACUUUAUUUUUACAAAAUAUGAUGUGUUUUCUGGUCUAUUUUACUUUUUGAAUUAUGUGUCACAUUUUCUAAAUGCUUCUUGAAAGUACUGGCUCAUUUGCCAAAGCCUAGUCAAACGCAGGGUAAAAAUACAAUAUUAAUUGUGACUUUCCAAGUUCUCUUAGAACAUUGCAACCAGAUUUUUAAAAACUUUAAAAUGCAAGAAAGAAAAAUGAUUUGAUUUUUAGUAACAAAUCUAAUAUUUUAAGAUAGGACUGAAAACAUUAAUUCAAUUCAACAGAAAAAACUAUUGGGGAAAAUGUAAAAUUGGUUACAUACAUUAAUAAGAUUUCAAGCUGCUGAUGUUUCUAUGUUGAGAUAGAAUUUAAGUUACUUGAUACAAAAUAUUCCUCAGUCUAAUUUGUUUUCAGUAAUGGGUAGCAAAUUUCAGAUAAAGCUGGAAAAUAUACUUGUCUUACAAAUAGAAUAAAAACAUAAUUUUACCAAAAUAUAAUAAGCAUCAAAAUGAAUUUUUAUAAGGGGAUGACAACAAAGUAUAAUUCCAUUACUAUAGAAGACUUAACAUAAAUCUUAUUGCUUGUACUAUAAUAUUUUGAGCAUGCUAAUAUUUUAAUGUUUUUCUUUAUUACUUUAUUUCCUUAUUGUAUACUAUUAUACUAAUAUACAUGCAAUAUAAUAUUUGGACAAGAAAGGUAGAAAUCAUAUCCUACAAAUAAUCUGCAGUAAGAUAUUUACAAAGAUUAUCAAAUACAACCAUUACAUUCCUAUGUAUGAUUUCUCCAUGUUCUCCAUUCUUUAACAGGAAAGUGCCAGUACUUACUGAGUCCAGUAAAAUGUAUUUUCUUGCUUAC